UGUGAUAGUCUCUUUUAAUCAGGAAGC
rnacentral:piRNA from 1 species